GACGAACGCUGGCGGCGUGCUUAACACAUGCAAGUCGAACGGAAAGGCCCUGCUUUUGUGGGGUGCUCGAGUGGCGAACGGGUGAGUAACACGUGAGUAACCUGCCCUUGACUUUGGGAUAACUUCAGGAAACUGGGGCUAAUACCGGAUAGGAGCUCCUGCUGCAUGGUGGGGGUUGGAAAGUUUCGGCGGUUGGGGAUGGACUCGCGGCUUAUCAGCUUGUUGGUGGGGUAGUGGCUUACCAAGGCUUUGACGGGUAGCCGGCCUGAGAGGGGGACCGGCCACAUUGGGACUGAGGUACGGCCCAGACUCCUACGGGAGGCAGCAGUGGGGAAUAUUGCACAAUGGGCGGAAGCCUGAUGAAGCAACGCCGCGUGCGGGAUGACGGCCUUCGGGUUGUAAACCGCUUUCGCCUGUGACGAAGCGUGAGUGACGGUAAUGGGUAAAGAAGCACCGGCUAACUACGUG
rnacentral:rRNA from 1 species